CCCCCCAGAUUUUUUGAUCUGAAAUUAUCGAAAUUUCGCGAUAUAUCGCGAUAUUUUCGAUAUCUCGGCGAAACUUUGAAAUCUCCCUGAAAAUUAUUCCGCCCAAAUGUUUUGCCGCCAAAUUUUGAAAGUUUGAAUGCAUGUGGUGUGUCAGUGUGGUCUCCGCCGAACUUUUUGACUUUGGAGUACUUUGACUGGCUUUGUACUUUUGCACAGCAAAAUAAUUUUUGGAAGCCAAGGGAUUCGAACCUUGGUUGGGUUGGUGUAAGGUUAACACCUUACCCAACCCUACUAACCAUCCAACUUGUUUAUUAUACUAUCUUUAUAAUACAUAUUGGUUUUUUUUUUCCGAAUCUGAAAAGUAAAAAAUUAGGUAAAUGUCAAAUCUCCAUCU
rnacentral:lncRNA from 1 species